rnacentral:rRNA from 1 species
UCAGCAGCCGCGGUAAUUCCAGCUCUGUAAGCGUAUACCAAAGUUGUUGCAGUUAAAACGCUCGUAGUCGGAGGUUGGCGGGUGACCUGGGGCGUCUUUACGGACGGAUCCAAGGCGGCCGCCUUUGUGGAGGGGGGCCCGGUGGGGCUUCACUGCGUCACCGUGGUCGCUGCCACCGUUUACUGUGAAAAAAUUAGAGUGUUCAAAGCGGGCGUUUGCCAUGAAUACAUUAGCAUGGAAUAAUAGAAUAGGACCUGUUUCCUGUUUUGUUGGUUUGUGAGGAACGGGUAAUGAUUAAGAGGGACGGUUGGGGGCAUUUGUAUUCCGGCGUCAGAGGUGAAAUUCUUGGAUUGGCGGAAGACAAACAGCUGCGAAAGCGUCUGCCAAGGACGUUUUCAUUGAUCAAGAACGAAAGUAAGGGGAUCGAAGACGAUCAGAUACCGUCGUAGUCUUUACUAUAAACGAUGAGGACUGGGGAUCGGGCAGGGCUGUAUUUUGGCCUGCCCGGCACCCUUCGGGAAACCAAAGUGUUUGCUUUCUGGGGGGAGUAUGGUCGCAAGGCUGAAACUUAAAGGAAUUGACGGAAGGGCAUCACCGGGUGUGGAGCCUGCGGCUUAAUUUGACUCAACACGGGA